UUUCCGUAGGUGAACCUGCGGAAGGAUCAUUAUCGUACAAAAUGUGAGGGGCAUGCGAGGGCUGUCCCUGUCCAAAAAGUCGUGCACGCCCGAGUCUGGUCCCUUGUCUAAUAGUCCACCUCACCCUUUGUGCAUAACCGCGUGGGCACCCUUCGGGAUCAUCUCGGAGGGGGGCUAGCGUUUUCACACACACCCCCCUUUUAAAAGUGUAGAAUGACCACAUUUAUGCAAUCAAUACAACUUUCAACAACGGAUCUCUUGGCUCUC
rnacentral:misc_RNA from 1 species